UGGGGAACAUUGCACAAUGGGCGAAAGCCUGAUGCAGCAACGCCGCGUGAGUGAUGAAGGUCUUCGGACUGUAAAGCUCUGUCUUUCGGGACGAUAAUGACGGUACCAAAGGAGGAAGCCACGGCUAACUACGUGCCAGCAGCCGCGGUAAUACGUAGGUGGCGAGCGUUGUCCGGAUUUACUGGGCGUAAAGGGUGCGUAGGCGGAUGUUUAAGUGAGAUGUGAAAUACCCGGGCUUAACUUGGGUGCUGCAUUUCAAACUGGAUAUCUAGAGUGCAGGAGAGGAGAAUGGAAUUCCUAGUGUAGCGGUGAAAUGCGUAGAGAUUAGGAAGAACACCAGUGGCGAAGGCGAUUCUCUGGACUGUAACUGACGCUGAGGCACGAAAGCGUGGGUAGCAAACAGGAUUAGAUACCCUGGUAGUCCACGCCGUAAACGAUGAGUACUAGGUGUAGGAGGUAUCGACCCCUUCUGUGCCGCAGUAAACACAUUAAGUACUCCGCCUGGGAA
rnacentral:rRNA from 1 species